ACAGUAAGGGGUUUAGGAGCGGUGGCGGAGAGUAUCAUGGAUUGACGGGCGAUUGAGGGUUUAAGGGAGACACCAUGGAAAGAAGAUUGAAGUGAGAUAGUGUUAGGGUUUGAGAUGGGGAAAAGGAGGGAGUUAGAGGCGGCGGGAGAAGAGAAGAGGAUAGAGUGAGCAGCCAUAGCUGCAAGUGCAGCUUGCAUUCAGUGGUGGGUAGUGAUGAAUCUGAGAUAAAACGAUAAUGUUUG
rnacentral:lncRNA from 1 species